ACGCCAGUCGUACCUUUCCUAUCAAUGCACCCAAGACAAUGAUUGUUGGUAAAAGAACAGCAUUUCUAUUACCACUCUGGUUAGUCGAUCAAUCGAACAAUAUCUUUGAAAAUCCUGAUUAUUAUAGGGCAAUUCAGGACUUGUAGUAUAAAGCCACAAGCCCCUGCUCUCACAAAGCACGCUCUUAUUGAUCCAAUUAUCUAUAACUUGGAGAGCAUUGAGUUUUGCAGAGAGGAGAAGGUUGUGUGCAGGUUUUCAUGGCUUCUUCAUCCAUGAACAUGUCUACAGAGGGGGUUUGAUCUACUAGACUGAGGAGUCGGGCACUAAUAGCCUGACCUUGCGCCUGAGGCCAUGUGACGUUAGGGUGAUGCCACCCAUGUUAUAAUUUUUUUUGCACCAGGCGCGUGUGCUUCAUGUGUGCGUGAUGGCUAGUAUUCCAACAAAAUGCAAGUUGCAGGGUACUUUUUACUAUUAA